rnacentral:rRNA from 1 species
AAUCUGGGGCCCCAGGCCUCCGAGUUGUAAUUUGGAGAGGCAUCUUCGGGGAGGGGGCGCGGGCCCAUGUUCCUUGGAACAGGACGUCGCAGAGGGUGAGAAUCCCGUGCCAGGCCGGCUGCCUCCGCCCCAGUGAAGGGCCUUCGACGAGUCGAGUUGUUUGGGAAUGCAGCUCCAAGUGGGUGGUAAAUUUCAUCUAAAGCUAAAUACCGGCGGGAGACCGAUAGCGCACAAGUAGAGUGAUCGAAAGAUGAAAAGCACUUUGAAAAUAGAGUCAAAAAGUACGUGAAAUUGUUGAAAGGGAAGCGCUUGAGACCAGACUCGGACCCGGGCAAACAUCGCGCCCCCCGGGGCCGUGCAAUUGCCUGGGGCCGGGCCAGCAUCGGUUGGCGUGGCGGGACAAAGGCGCGGGGAAUGUGGCUCCCCUCGGGGAGUGUUAUUAGGCCCGCGCCCAAUGCCGCCUACGCCGACUGAGGACCGCGCCGCCCGGCUAGGAUGCUGGCUUAAUGGCCUUCAGCGACCCGUCUUGAAACACGGACCAAGGAGUCUAACAUCUAUGCGAGUGUUUGGGCUUGAAACCCUUGCGCGGAAUGAAAGUGAGCGGAGGUGGGAACCCCCCCGCGGGGCGCACCAUCGACCGAUCCUGAUGUCUUCGGAUGGAUUUGAGUA